GACGGAACUGGAGAAUCCGCCCCGGGAUGUGUUUCGUAGGGGUGUCGGCGCCCCUCUGCUCGGGUUCAAACUGGUCUCGGAUUAGUGUCCCAGACCCUACUCGGUCACGGACUCACACUUUAGGGGAUCAUUUUCUUCCUCCGUAAAAGAUUUGGAGAUGACUAGUUUAUUUACAAAUGUUGGAGUAAUAAAGAAGGCAGAACAAAAUGAGCUGGGCUUUGGAAGAAUGGAAAGAAGGCCUGCCUACAAGAGCUCUUCAGAAAAUUCAAGAGCUUGAAGGACAGCUUGACAAACUGAAGAAGGAAAAGCAGCAAAGGCAGUUUCAGCUUGACAGUCUGGAGGCUG
rnacentral:sRNA from 1 species